GUGCCGCCGGGUCUAGCAAAUGCAGCCGAGGCCAUCGUCAAGGAGUUUCAGCGCCGGCAACACAUCGGGGACCGCCACAAGGGUCGUCGUUACUGCGAGCUUCAACAUCGGCAUCAAACAAAAUGGCAGGUGAGCCUGCUAACGAGGCUGGCGAGGGUCACGGUCUUCUCCCACGACGGAAGUGCGUGUAAUAGCUUCAGGUUUAGCGAACACUAGGCAGGCAGGCAGGUAGCUGUUAGGGGGUUUCCGUCGUGGGAGUAAGACCUAUCCGGAAUGUCGUUGCACUCCCGGCCACCAUUUUGUGCCAGUCUCUGGUGUGGAAUGUGGUGUUCGCGGAUGCAAUACGGCACCCGGAGUUAUCGCGUCAGCCUUUAACAUUUCAGAACCAGCGUUGACUUCAAUCGGCACGUCAACGACCCAGGUUGGUUUCUUUUUUUCUUUCGCUAUCUUGUCGACCCCCUGCACUCGUCCUCGUCUGUCCAGUUUCUUCUUGGCAGCAUUAAUUUGUUUGUGCUAAGUCUAAUCAUCAAUAGAUCCUCAUAUCUAGUAAUCCAGUUAAAUCUUUAGGUGAACGUUAAAGAACCUCAGGUGGUCGAAAUUUCCGGUGCCCUCCACUGGCCUCAUACUGAUAUCGUUUUGGGACGUAAAUUCCAAGAAUUACCCAAUUAAAUCUAGUUACGUCGUCCUUUUUCCUUCUUGCACUGCGAUUGCAAAUGUCAUAUUUCCCGCUGCUGCCAACCUGUACAAGGAGCGAGACCUUCAUCAAGCGGUCCUCGCUUUUUAGUCUCGCGCCUUCCAUCAACCCUUGUAUUGAUGGGAGAUAUAUAAUAAACCGACUGACUGUCAUUAUUAUUAUUAUUAUUGACAGUCAGUCGGUUUUAUUGCAGUCCCUGUCCUUCCAGUUUGUGUCAAUGCGAUGUUAACCUUGGCCCUCAUUUAUUUUCUCGCCCAGACACACAUGGCUGCGAUAUUGGUCAGUCUCUCACCUGGUCCAAGAUCUCUGGAGCAGUGCUCAUGGUCGCAUGAUUCGGUGUUCUUCAUCUCAUCCGCUUGAGCGAAUGAGGCGAGUGAAGAACACCGCGUCCUGCGCAACGGUCAUGCGUAAUAGUGCAGGUGUCCUGCACUAUUGCGCAUGACGUCUUGCCCGACGCCGCCCUACACCGGUUCGCCUUGUCAACUUUCGCUUCUGGCAAAAGUUGAUUGGGCGUUCUUCCCCGGCUGGAGCGUGCUGUCCGCUGUGCGGUACCUCUCCUCUGCAAACUGUUGGUGUCGCCAGGGCCACGUGCUGCUAACAAGAGGCCAUGGACAAGGAUCGAGCUGCUUCCCUGGCAAGUGACAGAACAGUCAUUGUUACCAGCUUCGUCAGCGGCAUCGAAUUGGUAAGGGUGUGGUGUAAGAGUAACAGGGCUGGCGAAGGUGGCAUGCUUUCAACGACCACCGACACUUGCCAGUUUUCUUGCGCCAUUGAAUCUUGAGGUUAAUCGUGCAGGGAAUCAUGUAGGUAGACUUCGGCACAAUUGUUGCCGCGACAGCUCUUCUCCGCGAUGAAACCGAAAGGGGACCAGCUGGUGUGGCGGCGCAUAUUGCUUCGGGCUUUGUAAACCUGAAGUCGUAUGCGUCUUUAAUGGCAGGUCGUGGCCGCAGCGAAGGACAAGCAACACCACACUCACAAACACUACAGCUUUACCCUAGGCAGGUCGCGUACAAGACGUCCUGGGGAGGCUGGCGCCGGACAGUAAAGGCCAACCUAGGUGGGUAUUACGUUGCCGGUGCUUGUCAUUCGGUGGGUAGUACUCCGCCGGUGCCUGUCUUCGCAAACGUCCACCCACUAAGUCCUGCUGCGGCCACUGGCACCACACGAGUCGUGUGGCAAGGGGGGACGUUUAGCGGACACUAGGCAGGUUUUAGCUAACACUAGGCAGGUUGUAGCUUUUGGAAGUCCCCUUGGGUUUUCAUCGUGAGGAGGGCCCACUUCGGAUUCCGUUGCACUCCCGGCCACCGUUUCGUGCUGGUUAAUUCUGGUACGAAACGUGGUUUCCGCGGGUGCAAGACGGCUUUAGUUUUCUCAACUGCCUAAUUGUUCUCGCCUUAACUCAAUGCCAUAGGCUUGUAUCAGCAGCCAAGUGAGUAGUGGCCACGAUGGAUGUACAGGCGAGUUUUUCGUAUUCUAUAACUCUCAGGUCUACGCUUGUUAACAGUUCCUGUUAGUAUAUUGCAGUCGCUGUCCUUCUACGGUUUGUGUGUUCGAUUUCUACGGUCACGCUUGGCCUCCGGUUUGUCCUCAAGCCUGGUCUUCAAUGAUCCUGACCUUGGAGCAGAACGUGCAUGGAUCACCCGUGGGCCUCGCAGUUGGGAUUGUUCCCGGUGGCCAUAUUAGUAUGCUGAACGCAAGGUGGCUGCCAUGUUCCUGCGAGGGUCCAUACAAGCCCCAGAGCCAGUGUUCGAGUGCUGUCUAAUAAUUUCGAGCGCCAUCAGGAGACAGGAGUUCAAA